rnacentral:rRNA from 1 species
CCAAUAGCGUAUAUUAAAGUUGUUGCAGUUAAAAAGCUCGUAGUUGAACCUCGGGGUCUACCCAUUGGUCAGGCUUAAUUGUCUGCACUGGUGAGAUGGAUCUCUACCUUCUGAGGAACUUUCAUGCCAUUUAUUUGGUGUGAUGGGAAAUCAGGACUGUUACUUUGAAAAAAUUAGAGUGUUUAAAGCAGACUAUCGUCUGAAUACAUUAGCAUGGAAUAAUGAAAUAGGACGGACUGAUUCUAUUUCGUUGGUUUCUAGGAUCACCGUAAUGAUUAAUAGUGAUAGUUGGGGGCAUUAGUAUUCAAUUGUCAGAGGUGAAAUUCUUGGAUUUAUUGAAGACUAACUACUGCGAAAGCAUUUGCCAAGGAUGUUUUCAUUAAUCAAGAACGAAAGUUAGGGGAUCGAAGACGUUCAGAUACCGUCGUAGUCUUAACCAUAAACUAUGCCGACUAGGGAUCGGACGAAGUUAAUUUUAUAAUGACGCGUUCGGCACCUUACG